UACGUAGGGUGCAAGCGUUGUCCGGAAUUAUUGGGCGUAAAGAGCUCGUAGGCGGUCUGUUGCGUCGGCUGUGAAAACCCGGGGCUCAACUCCGGGCCUGCAGCCGAUACGGGCAGACUAGAGUUCGGCAGGGGAGACUGGAAUUCCUGGUGUAGCGGUGAAAUGCGCAGAUAUCAGGAGGAACACCGGUGGCGAAGGCGGGACUCUGGGCCGAUACUGACGCUGAGGAGCGAAAGCGUGGGGGGCGAACAGG
rnacentral:rRNA from 1 species